rnacentral:ribozyme from 1 species
ACCACCAUUUGUCCUUUGCAAACCUUCCGUAGCAAAAUUACAAAGAGUAAAGAACGGUAGCUUGUAGCCUAAAUAUCCAAGCUUGGGUAUACGGGGAAACCCACACCCUUGGGCGAAUGGGCGGCAAGGCCGAAUUGAGAAGG